rnacentral:rRNA from 1 species
GCGAGCCUUAGUACGAUAGGAACGGGAUGGACGCACAAAUGGUGUAGCAGUUGAACUGCCAAGGGCAUAGAGGGAUAGCUAUGGGCGGAAGAGAUAAGUGUUGAAAUCAUAUCAGGAUGAAGGGCUACUAAAGAUGAGAUUUGCCAUAGCGUAAGGUAUUAAGAUACCUGAAAUAUGAUAAGGUUGAUAGGUUCGAGGUGGAAGCAUGGUGAAAUGUGGAGAUUGCGAAUACGAAUAGAUCGAGGA